rnacentral:rRNA from 1 species
CAGCCGCCUCGGUAAUACGGAGGGGGCUAGCGUUGUUCGGAAUUACUGGGCGUAAAGCGCACGUAGGCGGCUUUGUAAGUUAGAGGUGAAAGCCCGGAGCUCAACUCCGGAAUUGCCUUUAAGACUGCAGAGCUAGCAGGUGAGAGAGGUGAGUGGAAUUCCGAGUGUAGAGGUGAAAUUCGUAGAUAUUCGGAAGAACACCAGUGGCGAAGGCGGCUCACUGGCUCAUACUGGACGCUGAGGUGCGAAAGCGUGGGGAGCAAACAGGAUUAGAUACCCCCGUAGUCCCUGUCUCUUAUAC